rnacentral:rRNA from 1 species
GACAGAGGGUGCAAACGUUGUUCGGAAUUACUGGGCGUAAAGCGCGUGUAGGCGGCUCGGAAAGUCGGAUGUGAAAGCCCUGGGCUUAACCUAGGAAGUGCAUUCGAAACUCCCGAGCUUGAGUUCUGGAGAGGAAGGCGGAAUUCUCGGUGUAGAGGUGAAAUUCGUAGAUAUCGAGAGGAACACCGGUGGCGAAGGCGGCCUUCUGGACAGUGACUGACGCUGAGGCACGAAGGUCAGGGGAGCAAACGGG